rnacentral:rRNA from 1 species
UACGGAGGUUCCAAGAGUUGUUCGGAAUUACUGGGCGUAAAGGGAGCGUAGGCGGACAAGUCAGUCUGAAGUGGAAUUCCGGGGCUCAACCUCGGACUUGCUUCGGAUACUGCUUGUCUUGAGUUCGCGAGAGGAAGAUGGAAUUCAGGGUGUAGCGGUGAAAUGCACAGAUAUCCUGAGGAACACCGGUGGCGAAAGCGGUCUUCUGGCGCGAAACUGACGCUGAGGCUCGAAAGCGUGGGUAGCAAACGGG